CCAGACUCCUACGGGAGGCAGCAGUGAGGAAUAUUGGUCAAUGGGCGGGAGCCUGAACCAGCCAAGCCGCGUGAAGGAAGAAGGCGCCAGGCGUCGUAAACUUCUUUUGUCGGGGAACAAAGGGCGCCACGUGUGGCGUUGUGAGUGUACCCGAAGAAAAAGCAUCGGCUAACUACGUGCCAGCAGCCGCGGUAAUACGUAGGUGGCAAGCGUUAUCCGGAUUUAUUGGGUGUAAAGGGCGUGUAGGCGGGAAUGCAAGUCAGAUGUGAAAACUAUGGGCUCAACCCAUAGCCUGCAUUUGAAACUGUAUUUCUUGAGUGCUGGAGAGGCAAUCGGAAUUCCGUGUGUAGCGGUGAAAUGCGUAGAUAUACGGAGGAACACCAGUGGCGAAGGCGGAUUGCUGGACAGUAACUGACGCUGAGGCGCGAAAGCGUGGGGAGCAAACAGGAUUAGAUACCCGGGUACC
rnacentral:rRNA from 1 species